rnacentral:rRNA from 1 species
CAGUAGCCGCGGGAAAACAGAGGGUGCGAGCGUUAAUCGGAUUUACUGGGCGUAAAGCGUGCGUAGGCGGCUAAUUGAGUCGGAUGUGAAAUCCCCGAGCUUAACUUGGGAAUUGCAUUCGAUACUGGUUAGCUAGAGUGUGGGAGAGGAUGGUAGAAUUCCAGGUGUAGCGGUGAAAUGCGUAGAGAUCUGGAGGAAUACCGAUGGCGAAGGCAGCCAUCUGGCCUAACACUGACGCUGAGGUACGAAAGCAUGGGGAGCAAACAGGAUUAGAUACCCCUGUAGUCCCUGUCUCUUAUAC